GUAACAGCACUAGUCUCAUUUACAUUGCUCAUGUCUCUCUCUCGAUGUAAAGAAGAGGAGCCGUUUGUCUGUCUCAUGACCAGGUCUCUUUGAUUCUUACCUUUUUGUUUUUAUCUCCAACUUCAAAGGUGAGGUACGGAAGAGUUUUGUCUAAACCGCAGUGGAUCUCUCCUGGAGGAGAUGGUCUCCGAAGAUAACAGGCUUCACACUGAUCAACGGAAUGAUAAACCCAGUUCAUUAACAGUGCUCACAAUGAGAUGUUGCAAAACAUUGUCCGCGACAGUGUGCAACCAAGGGAGAAAUGCAUUAUCGUCACCAGGCUGCCCGUUAUGGUGCACACCUGUCACCGUCGUUACGCGCACCUGCGUGUCAUCAGACUCACCUGGACUCCAUCACCUCCUUGAUUACCUGCCCUAUACAUGUCACGCCCUUUGGUUCCUUCCGCAGGCGUUAUUGUUUCUCUUCCU
rnacentral:lncRNA from 1 species